AAACAUUCAGCCAAAGGUGAUCUAGGGAUGAGCCAGUGACUCCCACAUUCCCAGCAAGGCUUUGAUAAAUUGGAGAUGUCAUUCCUUGGGGAAGAGUCAGAAGCAGAAACACAGUGUUUCAGAAUUCUUCAUACUACUUUCUGAACACUUAGAAGAAAACAGGAGGCAAAGAUGUCUUGCCUGAACUUGAUAAAUAGAAAGCUUAUACUGAAUAAGAAAUCCACAUGACCUUAUUUAUUAUGAAGAGGACCUCAGGAAGAAUUGGUAAAGAUGGCUCUCCAACUGUAAACAUCCAUUCUGAAUUUAUCUGCAGUAACUCCUGUACCAACACAGCAGCUGAUCCAUAACAACAUUGUGACUUGGAGCCUCCAAAAUUUGAAUAAAUUCCCUAGAGAAGGAUCUGUGCAGUGCUGGAAAUUGGUACAGUUAGCAGGAAAAGUGGGAGUCCACGGGGUAGACAGAAAAUGGCCAGUUGGUCACAGUGAACUCUGCUUGGGGAUGUCAAGAAAAUACUGCAGAAAUGAUUGCUGGCAGUGCUUUACAUCAAUUACAGACAAACUAGUAAAGAAUUUGAAACUGUUGUUCAGAAAAGAAAAAAAAAAAAAAGUUGAUCUCAGCAAGAAAUGACAUUUUGAAUAACAUACAUAUUUUUUUUUCUAUUCUGAAAAAACUUUCAGAGAUUUCUGUACUAGACUUAUUUUAAUGACAUUUCCCUCUUUGAAGAUUGUGCUGCAGGCUUCAACAAUCCUAGGAACUAGGCUCUGGAUCAUUUUAAGUUAUAUUAAAACUAUGACAAUCAAAUUGAAGCAUAGACAAAUAUCUGCAAAUAUUCAUUGUGCUGUUAGGGUUCUUUUGAAUGUUUACUAAAAACAAAAAUCCAAUGCUAAUAUUACAGAACACAAACCAUGUGUUUUCUGUACAUAUCUCUAUUUUAAUAAAAUAACUGGUAAGAAAAGUGUAAAACA
ensembl:lncRNA